UACGGAGGGGGCUAGCGUUGUUCGGAAUUACUGGGCGUAAAGCGCACGUAGGCGGCUUUGUAAGUUAGAGGUGAAAGCCCGGGGCUCAACCCCGGAAUGUCUUUUGAAACUGCCGAGCUAGAGUGCGGAAGAGGCAACUGGAAUUCCCAGUGUAGCGGUGAAAUGCGUAGAUAUUGGGAAGAACACCUGAGGCGAAGGCGGGUUGCUGGGCCGACACUGACGCUGAGGCGCGAAAGCCAGGGGAGCGAACGGG
rnacentral:rRNA from 1 species